rnacentral:rRNA from 1 species
AUCUAGCCAUGCCGCGUGUGUGAUUGAGGUCUUAGGAUCGUAAAGCACUUUCGCCAGGGAUGAUAAUGACAGUACCUGGUAAAGAAACCCCGGCUAAUUCCGUGCCAGCAGCCGCGGUAAUACGGAGGGGGUUAGCGUUGUUCGGAAUUACUGGGCGUAAAGCGUACGUAGGCGGAUUGGAAAGUUGGGGGUGAAAUCCCAGGGCUCAACCCUGGAACUGCCUCCAAAACUAUCAGUCUAGAGUUCGAGAGAGGUGAGUGGAAUUCCAAGUGUAGAGGUGAAAUUCGUAGAUAUUUGGAGGAACACCAGUGGCGAAGGCGGCUCACUGGCUCGAUACUGACGCUGAGGUACGAAAGUGUGGGGAGCAAACAGGAUUAGAUACCCUGGUAGUCCACACCGUAAACGAUGAAUGCCAGUCGUCGGGCAGUAUACUGUUCGGUGACACAUUCCGCCUGGGGAGUACGUUUGCAAGAUUAAAAUUCAAAGGAAUUGACGGGGCCCGCAACAAGCGGUGGAGCAUGUGGUUUAAUUUGAAGCAACGCGCAGAACCUUACCAACCC